rnacentral:rRNA from 1 species
UGGGGAAUAUUGGACAAUGGGCGCAAGCCUGAUCCAGCCAUGCCGCGUGAGUGAUGAAGGCCUUAGGGUUGUAAAGCUCUUUUACCAGGGAAGCUGUACCUGGAGAAUAAGCCCCGGCUAACUUCGUGCCAGCAGCCGCGGUAAUACGAAGGGGGCUAGCGUUGCUCGGAAUCACUGGGCGUAAAGCGCACGUAGGUGGGUCGCUUAGUCGGGGGUGAAAUCCUGGAGCUCAACUCCAGAACUGCCUUCGAUACUGGCGAUCUUGAGUCCGGGAGAGGUGGGUGGAACUGCGAGUGUAGAGGUGAAAUUCGUAGAUAUUCGCAAGAACACCAGUGGCGAAGGCGGCUCGCUGGCCCGGUACUGACACUGAGGUGCGAAAGCGUGGGGAGCAAACAGGAUUAGAUACCCUAGUAGU